AAUAAAAUUAUUUAUGGUUUAAAAAUUUAUUAUAAAUUUAUUUUACAUAUAAAUUUUAGUGUUAAUUUUUAAUUUAUUUAAAUAAUAAUUAAUAUUUAUUUGUAGUAAUUAGAAUUAAAAAUUUAAGUAAUUAAGAUUUAGUAAUAUUUAAAUUAAUAACAAAUUUUGUGCCAGCAGUUGCGGUUAUACAAAAAUUAAAUUAAAUUUUUUUAGGGAUUAAUUAAUAAUAGAUUAUAUAAUAAAAUUAAAAUUUAAAUUAUUAAGUGAAAUUUUAAUUUAUGAAAAUUUUAUAUUGAAUUAUGAAUUAAAAAAUUUUAUUAAAAACUAGGAUUAGAUACCCUAUUAUUAAAAAUUUAAAUUAAUAAUACUAAAAUAGUAUAUAAUUAUUUAUAAAAACUUAAAUAAUUUGGCGGUAUUUUAGUUUAUUUAGAGGAAUCUGUUUAUUAAUUGAUAUUCCACGAAUAAAUUUACUUAAUUUAUUUAAUUUUGUAUAUCGUUGUUAAAAAAAUAUUUUAAAAUAAUAAUAAUAUUUUAAUUUUUAUAUUAAAAGUUAAAUCAGAUCAAGAUGCAGAUUAUAAUUAAGAAUAUAAUGGAUUACAAUAAAUUUAUUUAAUUGGAUGUUAUUUUUAAAAAUUAAUUGAAAUUGGAUUUAAAUGUAAUUUUAUUUAAUUUAUUAAAAUGAUUUUAAUUUAAAAUAUGUACAUAUUGCCCGUCGCUUUCAUUAAUAAAUUGAAAUAAGUCGUAACAAAGUAGGGGUACUGGAAAGUGUUUCUAGAAAGAG
rnacentral:ncRNA from 1 species